GCCUAUAAUUUUCUGGCUGACCAUCUUAGAACUAGAAAUCUUUAAGUCGUAGAAGUGGUAGAUUAUAUUUUAAAGCACACUGGGUUUGUUGUUCUCAAGUAGUUUAUGACAUCACAUGUUUUCGACUAAACUGAAAAUUAUAAAGCAGUAUCUUUAGAAUUGUUGGUAGCAGGAAAGUUAAUAAUGGACAUGAAGCAAUGGAAGAAAAAAAUCAUAUACUUAUUAGAAUAUUGUGUCCUUGAAUACAAACUGAUUCAAAAUUAUCCAAAAUAGUUAAAAUAUCAAUAGUCAAAACAUCUAGACAAUCAAAUGAGUAGGAAAUUGUUUAUGAAAUUUAUUUUGCAAAUGAAAUAUAAUCCAUGGAAACUGUUUUUAUCUAUACAGUACCUUUAAAGAAUUUUAUUCUCUGAUUUUUUUUCCAAUUGGAUUGUUCUGAUUUUUUUCCUACUUUUAUUGACGAAUGGAAUAGACUGAAAUAGUUAAACCUG
rnacentral:lncRNA from 1 species